GCACUUGCAGCCCAGAAGAACCUCUGUUCGUGUGAGGUGGUGGCAAACUUGUGGCUCUCUAACACAGAGUUCCUUCGGUUACGUUUUCCUUGAUGGGCUUCAGCGUGAAGGUUUCAGACACGACGAGGAAUGAAUGAGUUGAAAGCAGAAGAUGUCAUGCAAUGGGUAAAUGACGAGGGGGAAAAAUUUAAUGCUCGGAAUCACAGGAAAUGAAAACCACCUCCGUUCAUCUGCAAACAACAAAUAACUUGCACUCCAGCAAGCAGUUUGUCUUAUAUUCUGGUUCACACCUGCAGCAGGGGCAAGAAGGGAAAGUACCAAACCCCAUUAUCCUCAGAGUAAGAGAUCAGAGGAAAGUAGAAAUUAUACAAUUUCCAUAUAGACGAAGCAGCCGAACGCGAUUUUGGCCAUCUUACAACAGAGCUCUGAAAAAUGCUGUGAAAGCUGUCAGCUGGGCUACAAAAUGCAUAACCCGGUAAGACUGUGCACAAAGGGAUGGGGAAAAGUGUCAAAGAAGAAAAGCCCAUUGCUGGACAGGCACUGCCAUGCAACGCCGCAUGCCAAGAACAAGAAGAGAAGAAGGAUCCCAGUAGAGGAGAGCUGGUGCCUGGGCUUGGCAGGGCUCAAGGUCACAUCAUCAGCAAGACCUGGCUGCAAACCUUUGUCUUCACUCAGACAGUCCUAACUGGUUUAAUCUGCUCUGUAUGUAUGCCCAAACAUCUUCCUCUUUUAGAGGAGUUUUAGAUCUGUCUUAGUGUUUUGAGCAUGCAAGCUUCCUAACUUUGAGCAGGCUCUGAACAUAGGAAGCUGCCACCUAUAAGUGUUGCUCAUUUGGGUCAGGGCCGUCUCCUGCUGUACACAUCGUGUUUCUGAGCACACUGUGCUGGUUUAAUAACAGCAGGGAGAGAAGUGCCACAAGAAUCAUUCUGAUUUUUAUAUAUUGUUUUGCACAAAUAUCUGUUUUAUUUAUGUAUUUGCCAAGGACAUAAAUACGUGGAGGAGCACAGAUACACUUUUCAGCUUUUAAUCUGUGCUGCUGCGGAUGUUGCGGGCUUUGACUGGACAAACUCUCUUCCCCAAACAGCCAAGUUACUCAGAUGAAUAAGGUCAUCUGUGCACGUAAGUGAUUGCCACAUUGGGCCUUGUGUGCUCAGCAUAGGGAUUGGCAUUAAAUGGUAUUUCCUUCCCCCCCCCCUCCCAGAAAAAGAAACUCACCAAAAAAAUGUGGAAGGUGGAGAGGAAAUCUCAGAAUCUGACUCAGGAAUGAAGAGCAUUCACUGCCAACCCAGAUGUGAUGGCAGCCUGGAAGAGAUGAGAAGCCUGCUGUUCCAGGAGGACCUCUAAAGAGUUUUUCAAACCUUUUGUUAAUGAGAAGGAGCAGAGCGGCCUCUGCCCACAGCCUCCAUCUGUUUCCUUGGGCAAACCAUUCACUGAAACCUGCUGUACUCCAACCUCUUCUUCCGCUCACUUUCAUCUCUCAUCUUUGGCUAUUUGACACCUCGGGGCACAACAGCUAUUUUGCUAUUUCUAUGCAGAGUAACUUCUGCCACAAUUACUGUCGUGUAGGCAGCAGAGUAAGACAGAGCCCAGCUCCGUGGGCAUGCCUGUGUUUUCCCUUGGGGGUCAAGCCUUUGAAGCAGCCCUUCUCAAUCCAGCAGAGCCAGCUAAGGAAUGGAAAUCAUGGAUUUGUAGAACAUUCAGAGCUGGAAGGGACCCACAGGGCUCACUGAGUCCAACCCCUGGCUCCACACAGGCCACCCAAAACUCAGACACUACAUCUGAGAGGUGUCCAAAUGCUCCUUAAACUACAGCAGGUCAGGGCUGUGCCCACUGUCCUGGGAGCUAUUCCAUGCCCACCACCCUCUGGGACAGAGCCUUUUCCUUAUAUUCAACCUGAGAUGUACAUGGCUUGGCAUGUUGUCGUUCCUAUGUGUCCUCUGUAUGGAUGUGCCAUGGGUGUCUGGUUGUCUCUGGAUACAUUUCAUGCUCAUCUCAUCUCUCCAGCUCCUCCCAGUGCUAUUGUGCUUUCAGACCCUCCUGGAAGACCCAGCUUUCAAGGACCUCUGUUUCCCACCAAAGAUCUGCUAAGGGCUUACGUUGGCUCUGCAUACAGGAACUGGCACUGCCCCCCAGGGUGGUCUGUCCAUUGGGCCCCCUAACCUGCAAGGGCACACUGAGUGCUCCGAAGUCUCCAUCAGUGAUGCUGUAAGUGUUGCAGUGAUCGUCCACCCUGAUUGCUGCACUUCCAAGUGUUGAGGAACUGAAGACCCACAAGUGGAAGCAACUCUCUGACCUGUUGGAUCAUCUCCGCACCAUGCAGUGCAGUUUGAGCACGUGGGACAUGGUGAGGGUUCUAUCUUCUAUAAUGCUAACACAGUGGUGGUGUGAAGUCUGUAAUGUUAUCGUUGCUUGUUCUUCUCUCAGCUUGUCCUAGAUGCCUUCUAGCCCCAGAUCCCAGUGUCAUCUGACUACUCCAAACUCAAUGCUCUCUGAUGGAAGAGUCUGAAAACCCAGAUCUCUACUGAUUUAAAACCUAGGAGGAAAGUGAAUUAUAUUUCAAAGGUGGGGUUAUCUCAUUGUCUUUAGAGGUGAACAGGUACUCUUUGCUCAGGCUCAUGUUAGAGUCUACAGAGACAAAUGGACAUUUCUGGGUCACAGUCCAUUCUGAAUCAGGUAAUGUAAUGAAAACUUUACUGGUGCUUCCUGUGGUUUACCAGCAAUCCUUGUUUUAUGAAGACCAUGGCCCACAGGUUGAUGAGAAUGGACCAGAAAGGGAGGGGAGGGAUAUGGGGUAUGAGAAGCAGCCCAGAGCUGAGUUUGGGCAUGUGGUGUUGGGACGUUCAGUCUUUGGUCAUCUGAGAGCAGCUGCAGGGUCCUGCCUGGUGCUCAGUGAAGUGCUGAUGGACAGAAAAAAGAAAAAUGCUCUUUGAACCUCUUGACCUGAGCAGUGUGAGAGGCGAGGUGCACAGGCUUGUUUUACGAAUGCUCCCAUGGCUCAAAACUUGUUGGUGAGUGGUAUUAUUAAUGUUGCUCAGGGCUAAGAGAAAAAAAAAAUCAUUCUGAAGUCUAUGUUCAGAGAUAUUCCUUUUUUUUUUUUCCUUAUGUAAGGAAAAUAGAAACAAAAUGGGGGGAAAAUAAAAAUAAAAAUGAAAAAAACCCUACCAACCCUCUCUGCAUCAGCAAUGCUUCUGUCUCCAGGCUCUAUGGCAAUGAUACCUCAACCCACCCAUUCAGCAGUCCAUUAUCAUUUCCCUCCUUCCAUUAUUCCCCUUCAACCUUAUCAGACAUAAGCAUCGUCUCAGAGGCUCCAACUGGAGCCUUGUAAUUGUCCCUGGUUAGAGCUCGAUAGCACCUUGAACCGCCAGAGUAAUCUCUGCUUUAAGAAAAAGGUCUCCACAAGGAGACAACGAGGCUUGAAUUUGCCCGUGGCUAUGCAGGAUCUUUAAUAGCUAACUCUUUUCUCUCUCCCUCUCUCGUGCGUGCACAUACGAGCACAGAUAAAUGGAAAACUCUCUCUCUCUCUCCUUUUUAUUAUUUAUCCUCAGCCUCUUUUCGACUGCCUGUUAGGCAGCCAUCACAAUAUUUAUUAUAGGGUUUGCAAUAUUAUUAUUAGCAGCUCCUGAGGGCACAUGGUGGAGGAGGUGUCUGGAGAAAGCGUAACAAUAUUAGUGAGGAGAUCUCUCUGGAGAGGGGAGAGUGGAAAUGGCAUUUUCUUGUGCUUCUCGAUGGGAGGAAGGAAAUCAGACCCAGUUGGACACUCUUUCUCCUUGCAUUUGGAUGAUGUUUGGGCCAGGGUAACGUUAGUGCCAUGUCCUUCUUCAGGAGGAGAACAAACCGUUAUUCAUUUGAUGCCAGGAAUGGAAUAGGAGCAAAACAUGCAAAGUCCUGUUCAAAGAGGGGGGUGAGGAGGAUCUUGGCAUUGCUCUGCAAUUCAAGUCCCACCAGUUUCCCUAAGACAGCCUGAGCUACCAGCACAGCCAGCACAAGAAGUUGCAGAAGAUAGAAAAACUCACCCACAGGUUAAAUCCCUUCUUCAGUGGAGGGGUUUAAUUCCUAAAACUGAUUCACAGAAUCAUGAAGAUUGGAAACGAUCACCAACACCAACUAGACUAACCAUCAACCCAUUGGCUUCUCUCUAACAAAGAAGACCAAGCUUUCUGGUGAUGUUCGCCUCCCCGGCCUCUUCCAGAUUCUCAAGUUCCUGCCCCAGUGUUGAUUCUUAAGAUGCAUCUUUCAGCAGUCAGUUUACAAAAUGUCAUCUAAGGAUUGCUGCCCAUCAUUUAAUUGCAACAGUUAUGCUUGGAUGCUCGUUUCUGUGAGUGUCCAUGAAAUCUUCAUUGUUAUCUGCCUUUUUAUUCCUCGUGCUUACACCUGCUGAUUUUUCUGUUAAAGGUGCUUGUGAAGAGGAAAAUGAGUUAGUGACAGUCAUUGCUUUAUGAUGUGUAUCUGGGAGACUGAAGGCUACAAAAAAAGAAAGAAAAAAAAAAAGGGAGGAAAUAGAGAAAAAGAAAUGGUUGAAUUGAGAUGAUACUUGAGAACAUUUUAACACUGUGGACAAGAUUUUUUCCUCUAAGUCUCACCAGAACAUUAAGAAAGAUGGAAGUUUGCAUCAUUAGCAACCAUUUGCAAAGAAAUCUUGGCUGGAUUAGAGUGUUUAUUUCUUGAAUCUGGUACAGAGGGCCACCACCUCAGAGAAACGACACGAUGUGUUCAAAAUGCUAUGUAAGAAAUUAUUCUCAAGUAGAUACGACAUUUCUUUUCUUUCCUCUUUAAGCAGGGCCAAUCAAUCCAAAUACACCAGCUGGACUGCUUCCAGUGCAUUUUUAAGAGCACAGCAACACGAGUUGUGAUUACUUUAGUGCUAAGCCCAUCCCAGGAGAUGGGAUUGAGGAAUGCUGCAGCUUGGAGAGGGAGGAUGUGGAACACAGAUCUUCUGAGGACGUGCCACAACCCAUCAGGCAGGGGAACACGUGCUCCUAAAUAUGUCCUCUCCUUGGACAAUCACUUUCAUCUCAUUAAACAUCAUGACUUUAAAGAGUUUUCCACCGCAGCCCCUCAUCCUUGCAUGGUUGGUGUUGUGUUCCCAUGGGUAGCAGGGUCAACUUUUGAUCAUCUCAUGGGUAGAGGAACUGGUGUCAGCAAUUGGGUUCACGUCUAUGACCUCAAUAGAAGUCAGGCUCAGUUAGAGAUAGAACAUCCUAAGACUGAGAUUUAUAGAUCUGAGUUUUGCAUUUAAAUGUGAGAGCUGGAUCUAUACAGCCUAUCGUAAAGGUGACAAGACCUCAGAGUCCUGUGCUAUAAAUCAGUCUCUUGUAUUCCUAAUGCAAAGAAGUGUUUGUAAAUUAACAGUAGUUAUUAUUAUUAUUAUUAUUAUUUGCUUAGAACUUACUGGCAUGGCCAGCGAUUAUGUUUUAGGAUUUGUAAAUCUGUUUUAGGAUUUGUAAAUCUAUUUCCCGACUUCCAAGCCAAUCGAACUCUACAGAAGUCAGUCAGGGAGUUAAAUCUGAUGCGAAAAGUCAUGGUUUGUAAAUCAAACUGCAGUUCUUAGGUUAGCUGAGAGGAUUUAUGACUCUGGAUGGAGAUACCUAAUCUGGUUUAUAAAAGGACUGAUUUAUAAAUGAAGCCCCACAAAGAAUGUCUCAGAUCCUGGCAGGUGAGGCAUCAAGAGGUGCAAGAUGAGCAUGGUGGGGAUGCCCAGCACUGUCUAUCCCAGGGACCCAAGACCCUCCAUCAGCAAUCCCAGCAUCAUAUCGUAAUGGAGGAAAAUCUUGAGGCCUCUGUAUCAUACCCAGUGUAAUGGCAAGCCACCCAUGCUGGGGAUGGAGAAGCUGGAAGUCUCCAGUGGUUCUGCGGCCCUUGGGAGCCCAGCAGGACCACCUUGCUACCACCUCCAUUCGCCAACACAGAGAGCCCCACAGCCUCCUCCCUGGCCCCAUUGCACCCCAGUUGCCACCAAGGCCAGGGGUGGCUGCUCCUGAAACACUGCUUCAAAAGUUUUACUGUAUAAAAGUGUCUCUUACGUUAAAGGAAAAAAAAAAAAUAAAAAAGAAGAAGAAGAGAGGGAAAAAAAAGGAAAAAAAAUCAAAUUUCUACAGUUCUAAAACUUUUUUUAAAGCAUUUAAAUUUUAAGCUGGGGAUUUAUAAAUGGGCUAUUAAAGUUUAAGAGUUUCAUUAUAGUUUUUUUUAAAUCAUAAUUACUUUAGGUAGGGGAGGAGGGAUAGAUCUACUUUAUUCCUAGUGGAAACUAUACAUAUAUAUGAAGUAUCUAUAUAAAAGCUGGAACUGAGCUUAUAUUAAUACAGUUUAACUGAUAUUCAAUAACUUCACCCUCCCUUUUUCCUAUUGUCCAUAUUUAAAUACUUCAAAAAGAAUUCUAAUCAAGUGGAAAUUAAUAGGGGAGGAAAGACUGGGGUAGCAGGAGAGGGCUCUAAUCCCACUCUCUCUUAAUAUUUCAAAGUCUCUUUUAUUUUCCUAAUAAAAAAAAGAGAGAGAGAGAGAGAGAGAGAGAGGGAGAAAGUGGAAUUAAUCCAGUGCUCUGAACUGUCCUCCCGUCUUACUGAUUUAAAUAAAAUCCAAGAGCACAUCACACCCGACGGCCGUGCCUGGCCACGUGCCAGGGCAGGCUCUCACGUCCCCGUUUCCCUCCCACCUUCUCCAGGAGGUGGACGCCCUCCAACCCCAGCCUGUUGCAGAGGGAUGAUGGGCUACCGGCCUUCCUCAGGGCUCUGGGGUGUCCUCUAUCCCCUCUCUGCGCUCCUGCGAGGGCAGCCUUGUCAUUUUGGUGGGACUCGUUGCAACCAAAGGUCUUGCGCCCAUGGGCACCUUCCCCUUAGGAUCUGGCGGUGAUGCCAGAGCAAUGAGGGGUGAUGCAGGAUAGGGAAACUCAUGGUGGAUGUCACCGUGGGAAAGAAGAAACCAGGUGUUCUGCAUCAGUUUGCCUUAACUUCUCCUCUGUUGGUGUGUUCGGCUGCUCGCUGAAAUGGGGAGCAAACCCCACUCUGACACCAGCCUUCGUGGUUCUCCUUGCAGCUCCAGGGCUCUUGUGCCAAGAAGUAAAGCAGACGGCCCACCUGACAUACUAUCUGUUCAGCACGAGCUAAUUAGAAUAUGAAGCAUGGAGCAAAACCUGAGGUCAGCCUUGUUAAACCACACAGAGCAGAGAAAUGUAUCGCUGUAAGCCAAGCAGGUAAAUAACAUUUAUUAACCAAAGAGCACACGCUAGAUGGCAUACCAUUCCUUACAUACUGCUGUGUUACAUCCUUGUUAUUAUACUCAUGUUGCCCACAUUUGCAUGGUAUUUUCCCAAUACAGGCCAGGCACUAUCCUUUUGAACUGCAGCUGGUUCAUACAAGAAUAAAACACACAGUGUUCACCCCAGCAGAUCAAACCUCAUCUGUAGAGAGCCAUUUUCUUCUUCCCAAGCUGUUCUAGAGGCACAUUGGUUGAUAUGAGAGCUGCUAAUAGAAGGGGAUGUCAGGACCCAGGCACAACCUGGCAGUUGAAAUAGAUAGAUAGAAGAGAUGGCAGGUGCUCCUUGGAGAAGAUGCCUCGCAGUGUUUUGAUUUCAGCUGACCAAUCUGUCUAGCCCGGGGGCACUCAAACAAAACAUUUCCCCAAACUCUUAGUGGGGGAUUUUAUUUUAUAUCGUGAUUCUGAAGAUUUUUAUUGGGGGUAAAAAGGAAAAAAAAAGAAAAACUUGUCUUCUAUUUUUUCCUAUCUCAUUAUGCAGGAAUAAGCACGUACUGUAUACAACAUUAAGCUUCAUGGCUUAACGCACUACGUACGAUGAUGACCAUGCGGCCCUGUUUUAUGACUUAAGUUGUAGAACAAUGAGUAAUUUUUGUAAUAAAUAUACAAACCUGGGCAGAGGCCUUCAUUUGGCAACUCCAGAAUUUGGCAUAGUGGCAGGAGGGAAUAAAAAGCUAUGGUUUCACAGCAUUCCAAGGCAAAUGACGGCACCCAGAAUCAGUCAUACUACAGCAGAUAUAAAUGAAGAUGACAAGGAUACAGAAUUUUCAGCACACUACUCAGCAAUUCAAAGCAAAACAAAAAAAAAAAAAGAAAAAGAAAAAAGAAAACGAUCCCUGCUCCAAACCCACCAAGGAAAAGAAGUUUGGAAUAAUAUCAUGCAACUGAAUAUGCUGGGGAUGCGCCCUUUCUGUUUGCACACAUAUGCACAUUCAUGCGCAUGCAAACGCCUCCUGCAUGCACAAAGAUUCAUUUGCUAAAAGACUCAUCUCAACACAACCCAAUUUGAACCUGUACGAAAGGAUGCUCUAUUGCUGUAGGAAUGAAAGAUAAAGUGGUGCGAAUACAAUAGCCCAUAAAACUCAGCAAAUCCUUGAGUUAGAAUAUAAUUUUACUGGAGAGGGGGAAAAUAGCUUUUCUCUCAAAGAAAAGGUGGUUUAAAAUUAAAAUUCAUUAAAGAAGGCUAGCUGACACAUUUUUGUAUUCUUUGAGGAAGUAUAUCUUUAAUUUAAUGCACUGUCCAAUUAAAAAGAAGUGGUCCCUUAUUAUAGAUAUGAUUUAUUCUCUGAUAAACCACUGAUUUAUGGCUCGCUGGAGUAUAUAUUUAAUACUGUCAAAAAUAUAUAUAUAUAAAAAAUGAAAGGACACCCAAAACUAUCUGCAGUGCUACAGUGGCUCAGUCUGAAAAGGAUCUGAGGAAGCAAAGACCCCUGGGAGUUAAAUGCAAUCUUUGCCUGGGAUGAAAGCAUGGAGAACUGCUGAUGGUUACAAAAGGAUCCUUCGCCACCAGCCCCAGCCACCAUCCGUACACAAACACAUGUACGCAUCGGUGUUCUUCCUCGCCUCCUCCUCCUCUUGCACCCCAGCCCAGCAGCUGAGGAAUCUCAUCUGCAAAUUCUUAAGUGCUUUUCCAAAUGGUGAGUCCUGCGUUGCAGGUGGAGACCCAGGGGUUGAAGACAGGGAAAGUGCUUUGCCUGCAUUCCCAGUCUGAUCAGGUAGGAACACUUGGGUUUCUCCAUGGGUGGUGACCGCGUUUGCAUGGUGCUUUUGCUGGCCUUGAGCUGCCUGGUCCCACCUUACAGUCACCAGAAGAAGAGGAGGACAGGCAUGUGAGAGAGUUCCAGAUCUUGCUUCUCUCCAUCACUGACAAGGGGAGCCCCAGCUGAAUCACCAAAUGGGAAUACCUGCACCUUAAAUCCCAGCAGACAGAGAAUCAUUGGAGUUGGAAGGGCCCCUUAAAGGCCAUCUGGUCCAACCCCCUGCAAUGAGCAGGGACACCCACAGCUCCAUCAGGUGCUCAGAGCCCUAUGCAGCCUGACCUUUGGUGUCUCCAGAGAUAGGAACAUCCACCACCAAUCUGGGCAACCUGUGCCAGUGCCUUGCUAAUAGAUACGUGCCUCAACACAGUGCUAUUUCUACUAGCUCGUAAGGAAUGGUAUGUAAUAUUUUCUUCAGUGCAGCACACCAAAACUUUCUGUUUUCUUACAGUUAGCACAUGAGUUUGGAUCCAGGAUCAUAAAUUCAAGAUUAAGAACUAUCUUGUAAGUAGAAAGAAAGCCUUAGGAGUAAUUUGCCUCUAUCUGCUUCUCAUGUGUUCCUGUAAAAUCCAGCUUAAAAAAGUAAAGCUCCACUAAAGUGGUGGCAUUUUAAUUUGCUGGAGUAUGUUUAUCUGAAUGAUCGCUUUCUACCCUGGUAGUGGAAAGUGAGGUCAAACCCAGGCAAAAACUCCAUGCAACUUGGUGAUACUGUGAUCAGAGGCUUUUCUUCACUGAAGGUAGAGGUGUAUGUUGGAGGUCUUGGAACUGCAGAAACACAAGAGAGUCGUGGCGCAGGUGUUGGCAGGGAGAUGAUGGCCUCAGGUUCCCAGAAAACUUUUGGAUACAGUCACAGAGCUGCCAUGUGGCAUACUGGCCAAAGGGCCCCACUUUCACAUCUGUGGAUGUGGAAGGGCUGUUUUAGGACACGCUGUUCCUCCAGCAGCUCCUCCCGAGAUCUCCGCAGAGAGUAGGGCUGCCCAAAUCCCCAUCACAGCCUUAGGAAGGUGACAUUGCCAGCCGCCGUCCUUCCCCUCCCUUCUGCCCUGCUGGCAGGUGGGUUGGCACGCAGAGGACAAGCUGUGAUGGCCACUGCUGCAGUGAUUCGCCAUCCUGAGCGUCCUGCAUCCAGCCGAGAAGUGUUAACUGCUUUUCCAGAUACCAUCAAAUACAUUUAAACAAGCCUGAUGCUUGAAUGCUUUUUGCAUCGGGUGUGUUAUACAUAAAAUAUGUUGAGUCAGUGAUAGUGGCCUUAUCUAAAGACAGAAGCCAGGAAAAUUUCAUCCGGUGCACUUUGUCAGAUUGUGCCU